UGAGACCUGAUGCCGAGCCGAUUGUGGUGAAGUGGAUGAUCCUAUGCUGUCGAGAAAAGCCUCUAGCGAGUUUCAUGGCGGCCCGUACCCUAAACCGACUCAGGUGGUCAGGUAGAGAAUACCGAGGCGUUCGGGUGAACUAUGGUUAAGGAACUCGGCAAAAUGCCCCCGUAACUUCGGGAGAAGGGGGGCCACGCCUGGUGAUCGGACUUGCUCCGUGAGCUGGGGGUGGCCGCAGAGACCAGCGAGAAGCGACUGUUUACUAAAAACACAGGUCCGUGCGAAGCCGUAAGGCGAUGUAUACGGACUGACGCCUGCCCGGUGCUGGAACGUUAAGGGGACCGGUUAGCUGCUCUUCGGGGUGGCGAAGCUGAGAACUUAAGCGCCAGUAAACGGCGGUGGUAACUAUAACCAUCCUAAGGUAGCGAAAUUCCUUGUCGGGUAAGUUCCGACCUGCACGAAUGGCGUAACGACUUCUCGACUGUCUCAACCAUAGGCCCGGUGAAAUUGCACUACGAGUAAAGAUGCUCGUUUCGCGCAGCAGGACGGAAAGACCCCGGGACCUUUACUAUAGUUUGAUAUUGGUGUUCGGUUCGGCUUGUGUAGGAUAGGUGGGAGACUGUGAAGCGGCCACGCCAGUGGUUGUGGAGUCGUCGUUGAAAUACCACUCUGGUCGUGCUGGAUGUCUAACCUGGGUCCGUGAUCCGGAUCAGGGACAGUGUCUGAUGGGUAGUUUAACUGGGGCGGUUGCCUCCUAAAGGGUAACGGAGGCGCCCAAAGGUUCCCUCAGCCUGGUUGGUAAUCAGGUGUUGAGUGUAAGUGCACAAGGGAGCUUGACUGUGAGACCGACGGGUCGAGCAGGGACGAAAGUCGGGACUAGUGAUCCGGCAGUGGCUUGUGGAAGCGCUGUCGCUCAACGGAUAAAAGGUACCCCGGGGAUAACAGGCUGAUCUUCCCCAAGAGUCCAUAUCGACGGGAUGGUUUGGCACCUCGAUGUCGGCUCGUCGCAUCCUGGGGCUGGAGUCGGUCCCAAGGGUUGGGCUGUUCGCCCAUUAAAGCGGUACGCGAGCUGGGUUUAGAACGUCGUGAGACAGUUCGGUCCCUAUCCGCUGUGCGCGUAGGAAUAUUGAGAAGGGCUGUCCCUAGUACGAGAGGACCGGGACGGACGAACCUCUGGUGUGCCAGUUGUUCUGCCAAGGGCAUGGCUGGUUGGCUACGUUCGGAAAGGAUAACCGCUGAAAGCAUCUAAGCGGGAAGCCUGCUUCGAGAUGAGUAUUCCCACCCUCUUGAGGGGUUAAGGCUCCCAGUAGACGACUGGGUUGAUAGGCCAGAUGUGGAAGCCCUGUGAGGGGUGGAGCUGACUGGUACUAAUAGGCCGAGGGCUUGUCCUC
rnacentral:rRNA from 1 species